AGUUACUGGUAGUAACUGUGUGUUACUUUCUGCCCCUGCCUUCCUGUGCUGCAGUACACCUUUCCCUUUCACGCUAAUGCAACUACCUGGAACAGCAUAUGGAGCUAUUGGUGUCUUAAUCAGGGUGUUAACACACACACCCUGCCCUGGGUGUGUUUUUAUGUGGGUCACUGCACAUGUUUGGAGGAGGAGGUUUGUAGUUCUGUGGCUUUCUAGAACUUGAAUUAGGUUUGCAAACUGGUUUAGAGUGUUUUCACUAUGGCACAAAAAACAGGUGACUGGGUGCAUGCCAGAAGUCCAAAACUGUUGCCUUGUUGCUGAAGUCUGACUCAUUAAAUCACGCAUCUAAGGACGCUGUUAAUUUUGUGGGGGAGGAGCAGCAGUGUCCCGUGUGCAUGUGAGUGCUUUUGUUAACCAUGUUUUUCUGUGUUAGGUCUCAUGACACAUCCUUUUUGUGGUUUUGCUGUGUGUAGCCUUCUGACCAGGCAGCUCAAGCGACCAUGCUGUCUGUAAGCAGCUCUAGAGAUUGUUCAGUGUACUCCAGACAAAUCCUUGUGCAAACAGAGCUGGAGUAAGAUGUGGAACACUUUUCUCCUAAUUUAGGUGGGUUUUUUUGUUUGGUUUUUUUUAUUACUGAGACUACCAAUAUAUUUUCCUUUGAUGGAACUAAUUCUUACACAUAGGGAGUUGAACAUUACCCCUGCACACAUAGCCAAAUACAAUUAUAUAUUCAAUGGCAGAGUAGAUCAGCAAAAGAGAGAAUUGGGUACUAAAAUGUUGCACAUAUGAUAGGUAAAAAGCUAAUCCCUAUUGUCAUUUUUGCAAUGCUUCUGCUUCCAGUGAAGGGUGCUGUGCUGUGAGCUCUUACUAUGCAACUACGAUUUCCUCUCUCUGUUCUGAUAAUGGUGAAUGUUGCCCUCUGAUGAGGACAAUGAGGUGACAGCUGUUUCCGAGAGACCUGCAGUGGCUUCACUGUACACGUUCUGCCUCGGUGGAUGUCAGCUAAGAGAGUAAUUGCAUCCCCCAAGAGUUAGACUUGCUGCUGUUAACCUUUCUGGAGAAACAAACAUGAAGUAGAGCCACGUGCAGUCCUUACAUGAGCUGGCAGCCAGGAAACAUGCACCCUGAACUUCCCCUGUGCACUGGCAGUGCUUUAUGUGUGCAACCUCCAGGCUCCUAGGGACAUGGCUGUAAAGUGAAACCCGGGCUGGAUGCAGCUGUAAGGGGAGAAAGGGAAUAGCAGAGCUUCGCCUUGCAGAACCCGAGGCACCCUGCAACACAAACAGGCACAGAGAGGAGCCUACCUCGGUAUCCACACUGCUUCCCUCGGGUCACUGCUCGAGUCUCUAGGGUAGCUGAAUUCUACAUGGUGCUGCAAAAUGCACGUCAGGGGCGUUGAUCUCUGCUGGCUCUGAAACAGGAGAGUGCUGUAGCUGCCUUCGCUGCUGGCCCCUGUGCCCGUGGGUAUCCACCAGCAGAGGGUGGCUCAAAGACCAUUUAUGUAUUCCUGUAAUGUUUAAACACUCUACAGGGUGAAUAUUGAGCGUGGCAGCCUCAGUGCUUCCUUCAGUGCCUAAUACUUCAUCUUUAGUUAGUAAUUACAAGAAAGAAGUAUCUAGCAAAGAUUUUUGUUUCAGCCUUUCCUCUCUGAUUUGUUUUUGUUUUUUUCUCCUCUGACAUUAUUCUUCCAGAUAAGAAUAACCAAAUACAGUUAAGUUUAGGAAGACAGGUUUGAAGUAAUGGUUUUGAUUGGGAACUACUUCUGCCCAGGAUCAAGGUAUUUGAAAUAAAUAAUUGCAUAACUUGUCAGUGCUCUAGCAUUUAUUAGUGAUUGGGACAUAAGACACUAAUAGUGAAUGGAAGUAAUUUCCCUGAACUUCAAACACCUAACAGAUGCCCAGUGUGCUUGGGCUUUCCUUGCACACUGUGGAGAGCACUGCACAUAUCCCAAGAUUGAUUUCAGCACGUCUUACCCUAAUUCAAGAUCUCAGUGUAGAGAACACAGGCUAGCAGGAGCCUAAGCCCAAACAGCACUUGUGUGUGUAUAAUUAUUCUCACGUGGAGUCCCCCUAUGUGCGACAGUUAAUGACUAGGUGGUUAAUUAUGUGAGUAGUUUAUGUAGGAAUGGGUUCAAUUCUUGUGUCUGUGUUGCAGGGAGACUAAUUUGUCUCUUGAGAUGUUUGUUCAUUGACCACAGAGGAAGCAGAGGUUAGACUAGCCCAAAGUUAGAUAUCUGACCUCCACAUCUAGCAGAGAUACAGCCCAGCCGCUGUGCCUGCAGGCUGCUGCUGCUAACCUCGGGUAAUACUCUGCUCCAUCUUUGAAGGCCUGCACACACUUGAGUAGAUUUUAUAGAUCUGAUGUCACAUCUAAGGGAAUAAAGUGUAACAGUUAAGGUAAUUAGUAGACAGUUGUUAACUUUUCUGACAUCAGUGGAAUUCCACAUGGGACCAUGUGUGUGUGAAUAUGUAGUUCAGGCUGUUGUUGACUGGAGACCUGUUGAGAGGCUUUACAAAAUAAAAGGUAGUAGUAAAUUAUGAUGGAAAAUGUUUCAUGUUCUAAUAUAUAGUGAUUUAUGUUCUGAAUUAGAUGCUCUGUUCAGAAUUUUCCUACAUAUAUUUAAGUAGUUUUAAAAGGUUUGAACUAAAAUUCAAACAUUUCUGUUCUUGAUUUCAGUUUAUUUGCUGCUCAGAAAUUAUUUUCAAAAAGGAAUUCCUAUCCAAAGUUCUUCAAUUAAAAAACCCAAACACCUGAGUACCAGCGGUUUUGAACAGUUGCAGAAGUAUAGCACAGAUGCAGCCUUAGUAUUUACUAGAGUAGGUAAAAUUCCUCUCUGUUUGCACAAAUAGAGCAACUUAGGGACCGACUCAAGCAAAAAAAUGAAGAGGCAUCUUCACAAAGGCUACAAAAAGCAGAUGACCUCUGGCUUUCUCUUCCACAGAAGACAGGCAAUACCAAAUAUGAAUAGGAUUCACUUCCUCCUUCCUGCUGAGUGGCAGGUAUCAAGCCUUUUGAACAUGUUUCCAAAAGCAUAUCCAUAGUUCAAGAAGUGUUUUAUGUAUGUAAACAUAGAGACAUGCCACAACAAUGAUUAAGGGAUUAGAGGAAAAGGGUUAGGAUGAUAAGAGGAUUAUUGCAGACACAAGGGUGUGUUCAUGACACCAGCAUACACUGUGGUUCUUCUGGAAGUCUCCAGUCUGCACCAGACUAUACAGAGCUUUCUGCAGGAUGUAAGCGUGCCCAGCACUUGUGCUCUGCUUGAGGUUAAGAUGGAAAAUCCUGUGUGUGAUUCCUUGCUGUAAUGACCUGUUUGUAUACAGAUGGGCUUUCAAGUUAUGGAAAUGACCUAUGACUUAUGAAAUAGCCUCUUCCUGUUUGCAAUGAUGCAGUGAAAUAUUGAGUCAUCUCUAACCCUUGAGCCUUCCCUCUACCAGCUCUUUGUUGUUUGCAACCUGUCUCAUGGGAUUUGGAUUGAUGAUACUGGACAACUCUUUUCACUUAAACUGGUCCCAGUUUUGCCAGUUUUGGAUGAAUUACUGCUCUUUUCUAGGAAAAAGAGUUGACCCACAUCACUGCUGAUUUAAAUUACAAUAACUUACUGAAAAAUUACCUGUGUAUAGUUAGGUUUAAAUUAAUGAAUUCUUGAUUUGGGGGAUUAAAUACUUGUAUUUACUGUAGGUACCUAACUCUCCUGCCACAGCGUAAUGAGUCCAGGGACCCACAAAGUCCUGGAUUCAGAUGGAAAGUACAUACUGUAAUGCUCCACAAGAUUAUAUUUCACUGCCUUUUGGAGAGAGGCCCUAAUGCCACAUGAAAUCUCAGCAAUAUGACAUCUGACCCCUCAAGGGAUGAAAUAGGUUAGAUGCCUGAAAACAUAACACAAAAUCUUUUCUGAGGUAUUUUGUUGGGUAUUUUUAUCCUUUCUCUACAGAAUAUAGCAAAGGCUUAAGUAGAGCAGGUUGGAUGGCCCUAAGUUUAGUUUAACUUUGACAUCUUGGCUGAAGAGCUGCAUUUCUAGUGGCUGUGCAGACUGCUGGGUGUGCUGCCAAAUAGCUGGAGAUUGCAGAGUGAUGUUGUUGUUAAUUUGUUUCUGCCAGAGAGACAUUCCUGUUCAUCUUUGGGACAGCAUCAUAAGUUCUGUCUUGGUUUGAAAAGAUAGGUGUCUGCCAAGGAAGGCAGGAGACUCCCUUGAAAUGGAAAAUGUAAACCCCCUCCCUCUGAAUUAUUAUAAUUUUGAAAUUAAGGGGUUCUCAGGCAAAGAUAUGGGAAUAAGAAUAACAGUUACUAGGAAAAUUAAAAUAAAAAUGCAGUAGUUUAAUAAAAAAGGUACUGACAGAGUCAGAAUAUAACCUGACAUCCUGUGGGUCAGGAUGUUGGUAGCAGUCCCAUUAAAUGGUGGCUGCAGUCCUCCUGGAGUGGCAGAUGUGGUUCUGUUGAAGCAGUGAUCCUGCAGAAGGGUGCAGUUUUCCUCUGAAGGUCCAGUGGUGGUGCAGACAGGUCUAGUCUUCCUCUGGGAAUCCAGUGGGAAAAGUUUAAACCACCUGGUUUUAACAGCUGGUAACAGAAUACAUACUUGUGGUUACAUCUUGCAUUGCAGCCUAAGACAGUCACCUAUUGAUCCUGCCCAUCGCUGGACCCGGUGUGAACUCAAGGAUAAAGUAUGUGCCAAGUUAAAGCCACCGUGCCUUCCUAGAAGCAGCUCACUUUAGCUGUUAUCCUACAAAGAAGGAGGAAAGAAGGUGGAACAAACCAAAUUACAUCUGUGGGGCAAAAGCCAACAGUUUUCCAGGUUUGAAAUGCAAUGCCGUUAGAUAUUGACAACUGACAGUUGCUUCAUCAAGGCACAGAAUUUUGCAAAGCCUUUGACAAGUUAAAUACAGAUGCAACAUGAGGCAUUUUCUUGUGCAACAUUUUUUAUGGCUAUUCUUGGUUUUCCCAGUGAGAUCUUACUUUCUUAGAGCAGAGAUUUGUCACCAGUUAAUUGAUUUCUCUGAACUUUCUGCCAAAAUCAACAAGGAAGGAAUUGGCAGGAUGGACUUUAGAAACAGGGAAGUUGUGACAUGUUUGAGGAAAAUGCAUGCUCAGAGGAGGGUCUGCUUCUCUUUCAAAAAGCAGUUUCCUAUCAGCAAAACAAGCUCACCUCUUUUCUGCAUGUAUCUUGUCUCUGCCUUGCAGCAAUGCUAUGGGGGUGCUUCAUCUUGUGAGAAGUGAAGGGAAAGAGAUUUACUAAUGAAAAACCUUGCACAUGUUUUUACAACCCCAGUCAUUGUACUGAGUUGAGCUAAGGCAUGCAUUAAAGCAAGCUGAAACUCUAAGGAUUAGAAAUCUUCGCAGUAAUGACAGGGUCUGUUUUUCUACUGACAUGCUGCAGCUUCCAUGGUAAAGGAAAGAAGUACAUAUUGGUCCAACAGUGCAGAAAAAUAUCACCCUGCUGCCUGGUCAUGGGUGAUGUGGGGCAGACAUGUCAAUGUCGUGAGAGAAAUCAACAGUGCAGAACUUGGGUGGUUGCAAACUGCCAGUUUUUAAUACUGAAAGAUCAAACUUCAAGCAGCGGAAAAUGUGAGGCAGUGCCCAGAGCAGUUCUAUCUGUCAGAAAUAUAAGUAAACACAAGUAGCCAGGAGUUCAAGAUCACUUAAAACAGAGAUUAUACCACUUCUCUCUCCAUUCUUCUCCUCACCCUUCCCUGAAACACUACAACCAAAACCAACAGCACACCAUGGCUUCCCAAGCCUCAAUAUUUACUCACACAUGAAGAACAUGUGAAGCUUUUUAAAAUCCCCUUGACAACUUGUACAAGAAAACUGUUUAGCUAUGAGUGGAAUGUCCUCUUACAAAAUGCCAAACAGCCUUGUGUUUAUUAGGCCAAAAGCUAACAAGUUGAACUGUAAGCUCUUAUUACUUGUUCUGUUCCUCUACAGUAAGAAUCUGGAGUGCUUUAAAAAUGCUAAGAGCGUGACAGUGAUUGACAAGAAAAGAAGGAAUGUAAGGACAUACUGUGCUUUUUAAAAAUUUAAUUAUUUCUGUAAAACAAAAUUGAUAGUGAUGGAGGUCCUGCAUUUGCAGUUUGAGCCAGGAGCCAGGACUGUUUUUUCUGCCAUGACCCUUACACACUGCCUUCCACCCUUAUGCAGGAACACCAAAUUUGGUAAAAUCCCAGCGUAACUUUAAGGAGAGAGAUCCUAAGAAAUUAAACAGCUGCUUGAACCAUUCAUGUUUUAACUUUUUCUCAGUGAAAGCAUGUCUUAAUUUUAGUGUGUGCAGUGCAUGUGUGAGGCUCUGUCAUUUUACUGGAUGUGUCCAGUGAUGGAUCUCCAAGCAUACAGGUUUGGUUCCAGUUCACAUGAUCACUUUGUCAUUGAAUUAAGUAUGUCUGGUAUGGAGUUCAUAUGAGUUUUUAACAGUUGGUAGCUGAUAUCUAAUCUGACACAAAGUGACAAUGGCACAGAGAGAGCAGUAGUUUUAAUCGCAUUGUGUCAGUCAGAAAUCAGCAAAAUUUUAGAGCAAUUUUAACCGACAGUGUGAGUGAAAGCUGGAUCUGCACCUUGGAUAGUAGGUUAUGGUAUAUCUGGUCCUAUGCCAAGGGCCCUAAUGUUGGAUUUUUUAAGCCAUUAAGCCAUGGCCAGAGAGGAGGAGGGUGAAUUGUGUCUCUUACAGUUGCUGAAAAAGGAAAACACUGCCACUGGUAUGUUCUUCUCAGUGAAAAAGCCAGUGCUGUGUGAAAACUGCUGUUGGAGAUGAUUCAACCAUCAUCCAUCUGCAUAUUAAAUCUUCAAAAUACUGUAACUGCAUAGAGACGAAAAAUACAAUGUGAAACUGCUAACAUGUAAAAGCAGGGAGAUUUAAGGAUGUGUUGCAAGCAUUGGUACAACUACACUUCUUGAACUGAGCUCAGGUACAGUUCUUGUCUGCUUGGAUCAUUUAACUGGCCAAAGACCAAAAUAUACCCUUAAUAGUCCGCAGACACCUAUGCCCAGUAAUGACAGGGUCCUCCAGUGACAUGUUAACUGUGUCAAUAAAACAUUAGCUAAAUAGUGGCUGGGUUUUCCUGGUUAAAAGAAAACUAGACCUUCAUUAUGUUCCAAGAUGAGCUUAAAAAAACAUACUUUUUUCAUUAUGUGACCUGGUUAUCCUGGUUAUGGUGACUGGACAAUUUGGAUCUGCUAAUUUAUUGACGUCACCGAAAACACAGCCUAAAUCAUCUAAAAUAUAGAUCAUUGUUUUGUUUGUCACCAGUCUGCUGAAAUUUUCAGUGAACUAGGUAAAUGUGCUUUGUCAGAUUCUUGCAUACAUGGACAUGAGAUGUGUUUGCUUCAUCAGCUCACGAGCUGGGUCACGGUCUGUGAGGGCAUAGAGCUCUGGGGUGAAACCACCAGCCUCUUGCACCCAUCUCCACAGUGACUACCUGCAUGCCUUCCAUUACACAGGUUCUACAUCCCCAAUAAAGUGACCACAAGAGAUUGCUGUCUUGCAAUACUGACUAUGUAGUUGUUUUUAUAGUGUAUAAACUUUAUAAAAUUUAUAUGUGUGUGCACUGUGCAUGCACUAACAUGCCUUCAUUUACCCACAUAACUCAACACAAAAUUGCCAGAUGUCUUUGGCUCUAAUGAGCACCUACCGGGGCACACAGCUGACUUGGAACAGGACAAAGCAGGCAGUUACAGGCAUCUAACCCCACUGCCACAGGGAAAGCAGCCACAGCCUUGGGCCUCCUCCUGUAGCUUGCAGGGGGGGUACCUGCUCUCUUCAUGUUCACUGUCUGUUGUGUUCCCUGGAACACGGUGUGUAACAAAACACACAGGGUGUUGUUUUGGCACCAGGGAAGAUGCUGCCUCUGUCUUGGAUGCUGCAGCUGUGGUUGGAACCCUGGAAAGGGGACAAGAUGCUUUGCUUUGGUGCUGUUAAGCAUGAUCAGUUGGAUGAACCACUUAAAGGAUAGGAUGGACAGAGAAUAGUGUUUGGAAGAAAAACCCUAAACUAACAAGGAGUUAAUUUAGAAACUUUCUGUUCUGCCUAACUUGAAGAGUUCUCUGUUGUUGUUGUUGGGGUUUUUUUUAAAGUAUUCCUUUAUGUUUAACAGAAUAUGAUUUCUGAAGUUAAAAGCUUUGUGUUUUGGGAUGUGUGUUUCAAGGGAAAACUGGAGGUAGAUCCGCCUCAAAGUUCUGCUGACUCCACCAGAGUGCCAAUAUAAUUAUAAAUGUUUAUUACCCUCAAAAUGAGGAGGUGCCUUCUUUAAGGUGUCUUGCAGGAUUAUAAUGUGAAUUCCUUAGUUGCCAGAGAUGCUGUUCCUCUGCCCUGUGCUUAGUGGAUUUGCACUUAGUAGAUUUGCAUGUGUACAUGACAAGAGCCAAUUGCCAAACAUAAAGAUUUGAAUGUAAACUCAUUGCUAAACUUUGGCCUGGAAGCAUCAAGUUGUUCUUCUGAGCAUUUGCACGUACAAAAGGUGAGUACAGAGGUAAAGAGCAAUAAAAGGGCAAGGCAAAAGAGAAGAACUCAUAAAGCACCUCAGCAGAGCUAACCCUGUUGGCCUGUAUCAAUGAGUCUGAGUUUUGCCCUUUUAAAUGCUUAUGCCUUUGCACACUUUGCACCAUGGGGCUCUUUAUAACAGAUGCAGAGCUUGGACAAAGCAUAUUUGCAGCUCCUCUACCUAUUUAUGAGCUGGUCUGUACACUUUGCAGUGUUUCACAUAGUGUGAGUGUAGGUAUGUACCUGCAGGCAGGUACAUAAAUAGGUACCUUUAUGCUUCCUUAUUCCUUAUGGAAGCAGCAAGGGGAAAAGGGCAAAAGGAGAAGCCAGAAUUUCUGCUAUCAGGAAGAAAAUUGAGAUAGAGAAAAUCUAAGAUUUUAUUUGAGCAACCUAGUAAUGUGUCUGCUUGCUAAUUAGUUCUGCUGUAAAUCACUAGCUCAUCAGUAUGUAUAUAUUCUGCUUAUUUGCUGUAUUUACUUAGUGACUGGAUAAUUCAAAUCUGCACAUUUAUUGACUUAACUGAAAUUGCAGCCUAAAUCAUAUGAAAUAUGGGAUAAAUACAUGUAUGGGGUAUUGUGGGAUGGUUUUAUUAUGGGACUAGACUGUGCCUCCAGACAGAAACACAUAACUUUUACCUUUGUCUACAUUUGUUUAAAAAUAUGCUAAGAUACCCAAGCAUGGUAUUGUCACAUAUAAACCCAGCUCAAAGCAAUAACUGGCUGUGACAAGGCCAGACACCCAUCCCAACUCUAUCUCAUCUGGCACAUCUCCAAAUGCUGAUUCUCAUGGUAUAUCCCAAUAUACCAGCUGCUCCCAGUACAAAGAUAACAGUUAGUUCAUUAUGGAUUGUUUAUGACCGACAAUAUUUACUGUAUGUACAUUCUCAACAAACACGGUGCUGUAAAUAAAUACAGAUAUUAGGCAGUUGUAUGUUCCUAUAGCAUGCAAAUAAACUGGAGCUGGAGCUUUUAUCCUGCUAGCAACUCAGGCAAACAGAUUGUAAAAGCAGUUGAGAAUUAGCUCAGGACUUUUAUGAUGGUUGUGAAGAGGUACAUUGUAAGUACUUCUGUAAUUAUUCCAUCUAGGUCAGCUAGUGAAUUGUUUUACUGUACAGAGUCCUCAAAAUGGCUGCACUUAUUUUGGCAUUUGCUGAGGGACAGACAAGGGCUUUACACAUGGCCAGUAGGGCAAGAAGUCAUCGUGCUGAUAUCACUUUGUCUUGCAGUCCUGGGGAACGGGCAGGCAGGCACAGAUCUGGUGCAGGGCUCCUCCUUCAAGGCCAUAAUUUCUGUCCUCUCCAUGUCCCCCACACCCCACACCGGUGUGCCACCAUUGCACUGAUGUGAUUGAUGGAUGAUUGAUGAUUCUUUUGAUGAAAGAAAUGCUGAUUUGUGUGGACCUUGUGUGGGAGCCCUUGGGCAGGGUCUGCAGGGAUGCUGGGACUUUAGCUCCAUCCCACCACUGCCAACCACCUUCCACCUCCUCAAAACCUUUGCAGCACAGCCAAGGGAGCUUUCCUUUUCAAUAUACUGAAGUGAUUACUCCGCUCACUCAGGAUGGUUUUUCCAAGAACUGUUGCUGCUGGCAUUUGUAUGCAGCUACAAAGCUCUGGUAUCCUCUGGAAAUGGAUGCAGGCAGGAUAUUCCAGCUUAGAAGUCCUCAAGAGCAGCAUAAAAUAUGUAUAAUUAUUAUGUCCUUCUGUUUAUUCUGACCCUGUACAAGAUGAAGCUAUGUGUCAUAUGCUUAAUAUUAAAUGGACUGAACAGG